CCAACAGGGAUUGCCUCAGUAACGGCGAGUGAAGCGGCAACAGCUCAAAUUUGAAAUCUGGCUCUUUCGGGGUCCNAGUUGUAAUUUGUAGAGAGUGCUUCGGGGGAGACCGCGGUCUAAGUCCAUUGGAACAUGGCGUCACAGAGGGUGAGAAUCCCGUAUGUGACUGUGGCUCGAGCCCAUGUGAAGCCUCUUCGACGAGUCGAGUUGUUUGGGAAUGCAGCUCAAAAUGGGUGGUAAAUUUCAUCUAAAGCUAAAUACCGGCUGGAAACCGAUAGCGCACAAGNNNNNNNNNNNNNNNNNNNNNNNNNNNNNNNNNNNNNNNNNNNNNNNNNNNNNNNNUUGUUGAAAGGGAAGCGCUUGCAACCAGACCUGCCCGUAGGUGAUCAGCCGCUGUUCUCCAGUGGUGCACUCGCUCUACGAUCAGGCCAGCAUCGGUUCCGGCGGUCGGAUAAAGGCCUUGGGAAUGUAGCUCUCUCCGGGGAGUCUUAUAGCCCUCGGUGCAAUGCGGCCAGUCGGGAUCGAGGACCGCGCUUCGGCUAGGAUGCUGGCGUAAUGGUUGUAAGCGACCCGUCUUGAAACACGGACCAAGGAGUCUACCAUCUACGCGAGUGUUUGGGUGUUAAACCCAUGCGCGGAAUGAAAGUGAACGGAGGUGAGAACCCUUAGGGCGCAUCAUCGACCGAUCCAGAUGUCUUCGGAUGGAUUUGAGUAUGAGCGUAGCUGGUGGGACCCGAAAGGUAUGUCAUUUCCUAUGAUUAAUGUAUAGAAUACGAACUAACGUUUGCGAAAGACAGUGAACUAUGCCUGAAUAGGGUGAAGCCAGAGGAAACUCUGGUGGAGGCUCGCAGCGGUUCUGACGUGCAAAUCGAUCGUCAAAUUUGGGUAUAGGGGCGAAAGACUAAUCGAACUGUCUAGUAGCUGGUUCCUGCCGAAGUUUCCCUCAGGAUAGCAGUAACGUUUUCAGUUUUAUGAGGUAAAGCGAAUGAUUAGAGGCCUUGGGGUUGAAACAACCUUAACCUAUUCUCAAACUUUAAAUAUGUAAGAAGUCCUUGUUGCUUAGUUGAACGUGGACAUUUGAAUGCACCGUUACUAGUGGGCCAUUUUUGGUAAGCAGAACUGGCGAUGCGGGAUGAACCGAACGCGAGGUUAAGG
rnacentral:rRNA from 1 species